rnacentral:rRNA from 1 species
AAUGUUGGACAAUGGGGGAAACCCUGAUCCAGCCAUCCCGCGUGUAUGAAGAAGGCCGUCGGGUUGUAAAGUACUUUUGGCAGAGAAGAAAAGGUAUCCCCUAAUCCGGGAUACUGCUGACGGUAUCUGCAGAAUAAGCACGGGCCAACUACGUGCCAGCAGCCGCGGUAAUACGUAGGGUGCAAGCGUUAAUCGGAAUUACGGGGCGUAAAGCGUGUGUAGGCGGUUCGGAAAGAAAGAUGUGAGAUCCCAAGGCUCAACCUUGGAACUGCAUUUUGAACUGCCGAGCUAGAGUAUGUCAGAGGGGAGUAGAAUUCCACGUGUAGCAGUGAGAUGCGUAGAUAUGAGGAGGAAUACCGAUGGCGAAGGCAGCCCCCUGGGAUAAUACUGACGCUCAGACACGAAAGCGUGGGGAGCAAACAGG